rnacentral:tRNA from 1 species
GGUGAGAUGGCUCAGUGGGUAAGAGCACCCGACUGCUCUUCUGAAGGUCCGGGGUUCAAAUCCCAGCAACCA